rnacentral:tRNA from 3 species
CGGGGAGUGGCGCAGCUUGGUAGCGCGUUCGCAUGGGGUGCGAGAGGUCGCAGGUUCGAAUCCUGUCUCCCCGACCA